rnacentral:rRNA from 1 species
UCCUUCUUUUUCUAUCUUUAAUCGGAAUUACUGGGCGUAAAGCGUGCGCAGGCGGUCGUGCAAGACAGAUGUGAAAUCCCCGGGCUUAACCUGGGAACUGCAUUUGUGACUGCACGGCUGGAGUGCGGCAGAGGGGGAUGGAAUUCCGCGUGUAGCAGUGAAAUGCGUAGAUAUGCGGAGGAACACCGAUGGCGAAGGCAAUCCCCUGGGCCUGCACUGACGCUCAUGCACGAAAGCGUGGGGAGCAAACAGG